rnacentral:lncRNA from 1 species
GUCAGGAUUGCAAGUCAUAUGCUCUGCAGCUCAGCCUCAUCAGUACAUUAGGGAAAUAAAACUGUCAGCAAGAUCAUCUUUGAACACAAAAAGCAGUGGGAUGGUUAGAAACUCAAAGGAAUGCCCAGGGGCUGAAAACACUGUGCUUAGCAUUAAUUAACUGGGAGAGGGCGAUGACAGGUGCUAUAGAAGUGAACAUUCUUGUUAUUAAUGUUAAUUUUUUUAUAUUAACGGAGGGAAGAAUUCUGGACCUGUUGUUUCAUAAUUAAUUUUCAUGCAAGUUCUGUGUGUCCUAGAUGUCCCCUAAAGAUGAAGAGCAUCUGGAAGUCGAGGCAGGACUGGGACCAUCCCCAGAGGAGUGUGGAGCCUGGGAAACCAACCCUGCCACCAGCCUUUUCUCUCUCUUCUUUCCCUUUCCACCCAUUUUUAUUCGGGUAAAAACUGGUUCAAAAGAAAAAAGAGACUGUCUUAGAGGCCUUUUUUUUUUUUUGUAUGUAGCCAGAGGGAUGUGGAAGUGCCUGUGUGUGCUAGGAUUGCAUGUCUGUAAGUUCCUUUGCUGUCUAAGACCAUCUGUCUUCUCUUUGACCCCCUGUUUUCCCCACUCCAGCUCUGCACCUUACCCCAUGGUUGAUCCAACCCCAAGGUUCACCUCUUCUGGGGCAGCAGCUCUUUUUUCUUACGUUACUGGUUACUUCACCAGGAAGGGGUGAAGGGGAAAGUUAAAUGAGGUUUCUAGUCUAGAUGAUCCAGUUAUCACAUUGUGAGUAUGUGAUUGAGUAGGAUUAUUAGAGUAUAAAAUCAAAGUAAAUUCCAAGCCAGUUUUCUAAUAGGUUUUGACAUAGGAAUGGCUCUUUCAAGAACUUUGGCAAUUCUAUAGCAAUGUGAUGAGUACAAUCUGGCCCACUGUCCCUUAACCUGGCUGGUUCCAGCUGCCCCUCAGGGCAGUCAUCAGGGAUGACUUUUUCUCUCUUUGCCCUCUGAUUUGUGUUCCUUCUGGUUGUGUUUCCUCCAUUUAUUAGGGGAUCAGUGAUUAGCACCGCAAAAUUAUUUAUCCCUGCAACAUCAAUUGACUUUUAUAAAGAGUAUUUACUUCAAAGAGAUAGUAAGAACAAAUGUGUAAGCUUUCCCCCCAAUACUUCCAAUGCUUAUUCUCGCCUAUACCACCUCAGUGUUUGGGGGAGUAGGCUCAAAAUUUUGCUCAGUUCCUACAUAGUAUAGGCCCCACCAAAUUCAAGUUCACUGCAGGUUAAGUUCUUCCAACAGGCUGAGACCCUAAAGGUUACUCGCAAAGGUCACUCCUUGCUCCUCAGGGCACUGCUACUAUGCUGGCUAUAAAACACAGGUUGGAUUCUGAUGCUUAGAUUGCUAUGGCUCUCUCUUCUGACCAAAAAUUGCAAUGAAUGAAAACACCAAGGACCG